rnacentral:lncRNA from 1 species
GUUAGUUGUGGGCGGGGCCCCAAACGACAGCUUGGUCCACUAAUCGCAAAAGCAAUUAAUUUUAUUUUCUUAAACAAACAAAGAAAAAUAUAUAGAAAAUUGGUAAAUAUAUAACAUACAAAUAUGAAUUGAUUAAAAAUUAAGUUUGUUUUAUUCUUAAUAACUUCGCUGGCACAUGGCAUUAAAUUUCACGCGGGAAGUGGCCUAUUUGAGGCCUACUCGAUUAUUUAGUUAGCAUUUAGGCACAAAGACACAAAUUUAUAUCAUAGUCGGAUAAAUGUUGAAGUAAGAAGAUGAAAUUACCAAAAAAUGACGCUUUCUUCAGUUUCACUGUGGAAAGACCGCGAAGUGAAGUAUACACGCCGUGGUUUCUGUGGAUGGCCCGCGUGUCUUCAGCAGCGGCAGAAUCCUCUGAGGAACUGGCCUGACUCAUCUGCAUCUGUGACAGGUCAUGUCCAUGAGCUGGAGUGGAUAACCCAAAGCGCCCAAACCGGCCCACUAACACUCAAAUCCAUGUUUAAAGAUGCUGUCAGGAAAGGAAAUGCAUGGAAAAGUUGCUACCAGAGCCCCAGUGGCCGGAUGAUCCUUCAGUUCUGGCUCAGAAGUGACAAGGUGGAGGAAUGCCUGAUUGUGGUGUGAUCUGAUGGCCGGUGGCUUGUGUGUGUGAAAGGGUCUCAGCUGCAGAAACACCCCCCCCUCAGCCUGUCCUCUCUCCUCAGGGAACGAAUGGACCGUCUUGCGCUUACCAUCCCUAUGAAGAAAUGAAUAAAAUAGAAAUGAGACAUUCAAGUGACAGCCCCAGCUUUAAAUGAUACUGGCAAAAGC